rnacentral:rRNA from 1 species
ACGGGUGCGGAACACGUACGCAACCUUCCUUCAAGCGGGGGAUAGCCUUCGGAAACGAAAAUUAAUACCCCAUAGAAUUAUCUGAGGGCAUCUGAGGAUAAUUAAAGAUUUAUCACUUGAAGAUGGGCGUGCGCCUGAUUAGGUAGUUGGCGGGGUAAUGGCCCACCAAGCCUACGAUCAGUAACUGGUGUGAGAGCACGACCAGUCACACGGGCACUGAGACACGGGCCCGACUCCUACGGGAGGCAGCAGUAAGGAAUAUUGGUCAAUGGACGCAAGUCUGAACCAGCCAUGCCGCGUGGAGGAUGAAGGUCCUCUGGAUUGUAAACUUCUUUUAUCGGAGAAGAAACCCACGAAUUCUUUUGUGGUUGACGGUACCCGAUGAAUAAGCACCGGCUAACUCCGUGCCAGCAGCCGCGGUAAUACGGAGGGUGCAAGCGUUAUCCGGAUUCACUGGGUUUAAAGGGAGCGUAGGUGGGCUGGUAAGUCAGUGGUGAAAUCUCCGGGCUUAACUCGGAAACUGCCGUUGAUACUAUCAGUCUUGAAUGUUGUGGAGGUAAGCGGAAUAUGUCAUGUA